UUUUGUUUCAGAGCACCCAUUAAAUAUACCCUGUCUUUCCCCUCUGGUUACACUGUCUCUGCCCCUUGAUUGUACCAUGACAUUGAGAGAGGCAAGAGGCUUGGGAGUUGAUGGUGCCACAGCAGGGCAGGCACAGGGCAGAGGUUCAGACUUGGUUUGGGAAGGGGCUUCCACGUAUCCCAGCUCUGCACCUUGUGUUCAAAAUAUGUAAACGUGUUAAAACAUCAAGGAGACCUCCUUGGGUAUGUACUUGCCCCAGGCUGUCAGAGGCCUCCAAGGAGUGCAGUCAGUAACCUCGCAUUUGGAGAGUCCAUUUCAGAGCGGGAGGUGAGACCCAGCUGGAUGGGCCUUUGCUCAGGACUAUCCAUCAGUAGUGCCUGGUCCGAGAUGGGGUCCCAGGUCUCGAUGGAUGCGGGAGCCGUGCAUGUUGUGAUUGUGGGCGGGGGCUUUGGUGGCAUCGCGGCCGCCAGCCAGCUGCAGGCACUGAACAUCCCUUUUGUGCUGGUGGACAUGAAGGACUCCUUCCACCACAACGUGGCAGCCCUCCGGGCCUCCGUGGAGAGUGGGUUUGCCAAAAAGACAUUCAUUUCCUACUCGGUGACCUUCAAGGAAAACUUCAGGCAGGGCCUGGUGGUCGAGAUAGACCUGAAGAAUCAGACAGUGCUGCUGGAGGAUGGCCAGGCCCUACCCUUUUCACAUCUCAUCCUGGCCACAGGCAGCACUGGGCUCUUCCCAGGGAAGUUUAACCAGGUUUCCAGCCAGCAGAUGGCCAUCCAGGCCUAUGAGAACAUGGUGACGCAGGUUCAGCGCUCACAGUCCAUUGUGGUGGUGGGAGGAGGCUCUGCAGGAGUGGAGAUGGCAGCAGAGAUUAAAACGGAAUACCCCGAGAAAGAGGUCACUCUCAUUCACUCCCAGAUGGCCCUCGCAGACACAGAGCUCCUGCCCUGUGUCCGGCAGGAAGUGAAGGAGAUCUUGCUCCGGAAAGGUGUGCAGCUGCUGCUGAGUGAGCGGGUGAGCAACCUGGAGGCGCUGCCUGUCAAUGAGCAUUGUGAGUGCAUCAAGGUGCAGACGGACAAAGGCACGGAGGUGGACGCCAACCUGGUGAUUGUCUGCAACGGUAUCAAGAUCAACAGUGCAGCCUACCGCAGCACGUUUGGUGACCGGCUGGCCGGCAACGGUGCUCUGAAAGUAAACGAGUACCUCCAGGUGGAAGGUUACAGCCACAUCUAUGCCAUCGGAGACUGCGCCGACGUGAGGGAGCCCAAGAUGGCCUAUCACGCCGGCCUCCACGCCAACGUCGCUGUGGCCAACAUUGUCAACUCCAUGAAACAGAGGCCCCUCAAAACCUACAAGCCAGGUUCACUGACGUUCCUCCUGGCCAUGGGGAGAAAUGACGGCGUGGGCCAGAUCAGCGGCUUCUAUGUGGGGCGGCUUAUGGUUCGGCUGGCCAAGAGCCGGGACCUGUUGGUCUCCACGAGCUGGAAAACCAUGAAACAGUCUCCACCCUGAUGGGGAAUCCAGGAGAGAGACAGGCUGUGGCCCAAGUCUGUUCCAUGCUGUUGCCCAUGCCUUAGAGAGACUGUGCCUCUCUCCCAAAGAAUGGCCACCCCAUGGAGGCUUCACCCAGGCCUCCAUUCCUGCGGACCACAACCAACCAGGCUCCCUUCCUGCAAGCGGGACCUGCUGCCU
rnacentral:lncRNA from 1 species